UCCUUUCGUCUAGCGGACUUAUUCAGGUGCGUCACUAACCUCCUUUCGUCGUUGUCGUGGCCAAAAAAAUGGUCCUCUAAACUGGCCUGGGGUCGCACUCACCAGCCUUCGGGGGCUGAAGCUCACCCAUACUACCGUUUUUGUGUCUUUAACUAGGACUCUUGUUUGGAGCCCAAGAGUCCUACAACUCAGGGCGGGCUGCUCAAACUCCAUGUUUUAAUGAAAAAUUUCAGAUGAAGACUAGGCGAUUUAGAAAGCUUGCUCGGAGGAAUUUAUUAAGAAGGGAUUCCCAAGCAGAGCUGUGCCCGAGUCAAGGGCUGAUUCUAAGUGGAGGGCGUUGAUAAGGGAGGACUUCAGGGAGGAGGUGCAUUUUAGCGCGAAUUGAAAAGAGAACGGAGACGAAGUCGUAUAGACUGGGAGGAGUGGCUUGGAAAAAAAUCUUAUGCAUAAUUAAGCAGAAGUACCUGGCAGGCUAAGUUGGGUGGCUCAAGGCCAGAAAACAGACAGACUGAAGAAUGGAAAAUGGUUGUGAUACACUGCGCUGUGAAUAUAUGCCCUAGAGCUUUGUGAAAAGAGGGGCUGAAAAACCUGCCUCCUGUAAAAUGUUUACCAUUUCACAGAAAGUUUCUCUAAGUGCUACCCUGGGUGUGUGACUGAGUCUGACUAACAUCACUGCUCUGCAGUAUAGUGUCAGGUAGACAAUAGCUAACUCUUAAGGAACCCGGCACUGUUCUAAGUGCUUUACAGUUUUCAAUUCUUUUAGGUAUUAUUUUCCGAUCUUGCAGAUAAGGAAGUGAAGGCACCAAGAUGGUAAAUACCCCAUUGGUAGAAGGGGGGAUUUGAACCCAGCAAGCUCCUUCUAGACCUCAUGUACUUAAAGCUGAACAUCCAUCAACCUGCUUUGCUCAAAGGAAACUUUGAGGAAGCAUAGUCUGAUUUAGGAAAAGGCUUUCAAUUUCAUUUUAUAAAUGAAAGGCUACCUUCAUCACUACAACAAAUCCUACAAGUAGGUCAAGGAAGAUUUACUUAGUGGUGGCUCAGGACUUAGUUAUGGAUAAGAGUUAUUUAUAACUAAGAAAUCAUUCAGUAUUGUAAAUAUCUAAAAUGACUUAAGGAUACUAGAAACAGUCCCUUUAGAAGUUUUAGCUUUCUCUUUCAAAAAAAAUAUUUUCCGUUAGUAACCAACUUAGCAAACUGUUACACAAUUAGGCCAAAGUUACACCUUUCUGAACACAAAUUCCUGAUUAAUGAAUUUUCAAUAAAUGAGAUUUUACUGUAGUUACUUAAUUAGUAUUUUGUUUUAGUCUUUUGUUUUGCACUGUCUAUAGCCUUGUUUUAAAGCAAAACCUAAUUUCCUUUCACAUCUGGACUUAGGAUCCAGGCUAAUUUGUAAAAGGGUUAAGAUUCAGGCAGUUGUAAAUCAAGCCUAAGAAUGAUAAAACUGAAUCCGGGGCAGGCCAGAAUAAAAUUUUUUUCAUAUUCUCUGUUACUCCACGAACAACCUGAGCCGUAAAAAAAAAAAAGUUGAUCUUAUAAUAAUUCCCAUCUUUACCAACCUCUUAGCUGCAAAAUCGGCUCCCUUACAUAAUUGGGGAGAAUAUAAUAGGAAGUUCACAUCAAAUGAAAUAAUGGAAUUGACUGUAAAUUAAUGUGAAAAACCUCUGGUUAGAUAGAAUAACUUUUAUCUUUAUGGCUAAGAGGGCUGAGCCUGGCUGUAAUAAAAGAUGGUAGUCUUUAAAACAUUCGGUAUUUUAUAAAGUCAGAAAAUGUCUGUAACAUUCUCAUAAGUCUUUGAGAAAGUCUUUGUGAUUUCUGCUUUUCUCUUUUCUCAUGCGUCUCUUACCCCACAUGAGGCACAAAAUCAGCUGCUGUCAUGAAGUGGUGUUCCUGAAAGCUCUCUGGUGCUGACCAAGACAGGUGUCCUGGUUAUACCUUGACAAAGCCAAGUAAAAAGGAACUAAGGAAAUAGCAUUAUUCACCUAAUUAAUUAAAAAAAAACCCAAGCUAGCAAUACGAUGUUUCCUUUAUUACUACCAAUCUUUAGAAUUAAUUUUUCUUUACGGUUUUUGAGAUAUAAAGCUGUUCCCCAAAACCCCCACAGGCUGGGUUUUGUCAUUUAUUUUAAUGCCAGUAAACUCACUGCCUCUUGUCAGUGAGAACCAUGGUCACGUCCCCUGGGCUUGGCUAAACAGAGAGAAGCAGUGGUCUGGCUGCUAUUCCCUGAAGGUGCACUGGGAGAUAAGGCAUCUCUAAGGUAACCAGAACUGACUACCAAGUUCUUGACCUAAAAGAGUCACUGGGUAUUACAUUGGAAAGCCAGUGCCAGGUGUUACGUUAGAGGCGGAAACUGCCUAGUUCUCCCAAUUGCAGUCUUGUCAAACCAAGGCCACAAAUAUGUUUUUUGCAGUUUUGUGGAGGCUCUGUAUGUUUGGGCACUGAGGGGUGCCGGCUGCAAAGUGCAGUCAUACAUAGGACAAAUGCAAGCGGGACAAAUGCUUUUGCCCCUGUGCUUUGCUUUGGUGAUGAUCUUAUAGGCCAAUCCUAGGCUUGAGUUUCUCUCUACAGUAAUAGAGUGAAGCAUAUAUAAAAAUUCCAUAGCAGAUAUGAUAUUCUCUAAUAAGGACAAUGAGAUAUAGAUAAAACCUGCAGAGAAAAGAUGUGAUAUUUGUUAAUAUCCAUUUUUGGAGGAAGUAAUUUAUUUAUUUAUUUAUUUUGCUAGUCUCAUUUUUAGCCAAAACCCCCAUCAACCAACCAAACAAAAUCCACUGUGGACCCAGUGCUUAGUUGUAUCCACAACUCUGUAUGAAGAGAACUCUAUAGGGUUUAGUCCCUCUCCUUAGAAUAUACAGUCUAAAAAAGAGCCUCCCUUCCCUCAAAUUGAAAGCAUUAUCACCCAAAUUCUUCCAUGUUGUUUGGGAUUAACAUAUACACACUAAUGUAUAUAAAAUAGAUAACCAACAAGGACCUUCUGUGUAGCACAGGGAACUGUACUACAUGUUUUAUAAUAACCUAAUGGAGAAAAAUCUAAAAAAUAGAAGAGGUAGGGAGUUCCUUGGUAGUCUAGGGUUAGGACUUGGUGCUUUCACUUCUGUGGCCUGGGUUCAAUCUCUGGUCUGGAAACUGAAGUCCCACAUCAAGCCA
rnacentral:lncRNA from 1 species